UUGUUCAGCAGCACACAUACUGAAACUGGAAUGAUACAGAAAAAGUUAGCAUAGCCCCUGCUAAAUGAUGUCAUGCAAAUUCAUGAAGUAUUUCAUAUUUUU
ensembl:snRNA U6 U6 spliceosomal RNA